rnacentral:rRNA from 1 species
CAGUAGCCACGGUAAUACGUAGGUGGCAAGCGUUGUCCGGAAUUAUUGGGCGUAAAGCGCGCGCAGGUGGUUUAAUAAGUCUGAUGUGAAAGCCCCCGGCUCAACCGGGGAGGGUCAUUGGAAACUGGGAAACUUGAGUGCAGAAGAGGAGAGUGGAAUUCCACGUGUAGCGGUGAAAUGCGUAGAGAUGUGGAGGAACACCAGUGGCGAAGGCGACUCUCUGGUCUGUAACUGACGCUGAGGAGCGAAAGCGUGGGGAGCGAACAGGAUUAGAUACCCCUGUAGUCCCUGUCUCUUAUAC